AAAAAGAGGUGGACUCUUACUUCCCUUGAUGUGAAUCAAAAUAUACUCUCCUUUUAAAAAAAUAAAGCAGCUCACAAAUAUAAGUAAUAAUAAUAAAGAAUUUUAAAUGAAAGUGAGAUGAGGGUAAAAAAAAAAAAUCAGUGCAGAAAUUUCAGAAAAGCUCCUCCCACAUUCCAGGAAACCUAGAUCCACUCACUCCUUGCACACAAUAGGAGAAAAAACAGGCAAGAAAGAGGACAGCACACGAGUAUCUGAAGAAAAGGUUGAAAUGUUACUGUAAUAAAAGCGGAAAUAAAUUUCUACACAGCUUCUUUAGAAAUGGUCCGGGAGAGAGACAGAAGAAGUAAAAGGAUGAGGCCAUAUCCCAGAAGCCAAGAAGGCAGAUUCUGUCGAAGAGGGUGACAGGGUGCCCUACACUGUAAAAUGCUUCAAACAGAUUUAGGAGAGUGAGGACCAAAAAGCUGUGACCUUGACAACCAGAAAUUCACAGUGACCUUUGAGGAAACAGUUUUCUCAAGAUGUGGAAAUGGAAGUCAGAAUGCAAAGAGUUGAGGAGCAAGUGCAUGGUGGUGAAGCCAACCUAUUUUUUAAUUAACCAGGGUCAAUGUACUUUAAAAGUCUUCAGAAUGCCUGUAAGUUUCCUUUACUAGUUCCAUGUACUUUCUUGUUUUCCCAUAAAAAUCUGGAUUUGUGGCAGAAGAGAAUGAAAAAAAUUAAAAAUUAAAAGCGCUGCUUUUCCUUAAGCACUGACAAAAUACAAUAAAAGCUGAUUCUUAUUAAG
rnacentral:lncRNA from 1 species